UAGGGAAUCUUCGGCAAUGGACGAAAGUCUGACCGAGCAACGCCGCGUGAGUGAAGAAGGUUUUCGGAUCGUAAAGCUCUGUUGUAAGAGAAGAACGGGUGUGAGAGUGGAAAGUUCACACUGUGACGGUAUCUUACCAGAAAGGGACGGCUAACUACGUGCCAGCAGCCGCGGUAAUACGUAGGUCCCGAGCGUUGUCCGGAUUUAUUGGGCGUAAAGCGAGCGCAGGCGGUUAGAUAAGUCUGAAGUUAAAGGCUGUGGCUUAACCAUAGUACGCUUUGGAAACUGUUUAACUUGAGUGCAAGAGGGGAGAGUGGAAUUCCAUGUGUAGCGGUGAAAUGCGUAGAUAUAUGGAGGAACACCGGUGGCGAAAGCGGCUCUCUGGCUUGUAACUGACGCUGAGGCUCGAAAGCGUGGGGAGCAAACAGGAUUAGAUACCCUGGUAGUCCACGCCGUAAACGAUGAGUGCUAGGUGUUAGACCCUUUCCGGGGUUUAGUGCCGUAGCUAACGCAUUAAGCACUCCGCCUGGGGAGUACGACCGCAAGGUUG
rnacentral:rRNA from 1 species